rnacentral:rRNA from 1 species
AGGUUACUGCUAUCGGUGUUCGCCUAAGCCAUGCGAGUCAUAUGUAGCAAUACAUGGCGUACUGCUCAGUAACACGUGGAUAACCUGCCCUUGGGUCCGGCAUAACCCCGGGAAACUGGGGAUAAUUCCGGAUAACGCAUAUAUGCUGGAAUGCUUUCUGCGUAAAAUGGAUUCGUCUGCCCAAGGAUGGGUCUGCGGCCUAUCAGGUAGUAGUGGGUGUAAUGUACCUACUAGCCUACGACGGGUACGGGUUGUGAGAGCAAGAGCCCGGAGAUGGAUUCUGAGACAUGAAUCCAGGCCCUACGGGGCGCAGCAGGCGCGAAAACUUUACAAUGCGGGAAACCGUGAUAAGGGGACACCGAGUGCCAGCAUCCUAUGCUGGCUGUCCGGGUGUGUAAAAUACACCUGUCAGCAAGGGCCGGGCAAGACCGGUGCCAGCCGCCGCGGUAACACCGGCGGCCCGAGUGGUGAUCGUGAUUAUUGGGUCUAAAGGGUCCGUAGCCGGUUUGGUCAGUCCUCCGGGAAAUCUGACAGCUCAACUGUUAGGCUUUCGGAGGAUACUGCCAGACUUGGAACCGGGAGAGGUAAGAGGUACUACAGGGGUAGGAGUGAAAUCUUGUAAUCCCUGUGGGACCACCUGUGGCGAAAGCGUCUUACCAGAACGGGUUCGACGGUGAGGGACGAAAGCUGGGGGCACGAACCGGAUUAGAUACCCGGGUAGUCCCAGCCGUAAACGAUGCUCGCUAGGUGUCACGCAUGGCGCGACCGUGUCUGGUGCCGCAGGAAGCCGUGAAGCGAGCCACCUGGGAAGUACGGCCGCAAGCUGAAACUUAA